AUAUCAAGGAUUUGACUGCACUAAUGCAACUUUCUGAGUUAAUAUUGACUGUGUGAUAUUGUUGAUAUGGCAAUUCUCAUAUUAUUGGCAACGCUAUCAUGUACUUAGCUAUUAAGAAGCAUAAUAAAAUCAGUCUCACUUGAACAACCAAGCGUUGCGGUUCUUCUCAUCCACUCGCGCACAAAUACUCGCCAACAGAUAUAAUGAUAUCAAUGUGAACCGUGUGCCAUGGAAUAUCUACCUUUGAUAUGGGAUGGAGCUCUACUUUUGGUUUACCCGAUGAUGGUUUUGUAAAUUUGCAUGUAAUGUAGUUGUCUACAAAUUGGCACACAUGUUAUUAAACCAGUAAAACUCA